UGUUCUCCCACACUGGAUCCCCCAGCCCUGCCCCACAGCCUGGGGUUUCUGGGGACCAGGGCCCUGUCCUUGCUCCCUGGUGUUCUGGAUUGUCCGGGAGGGCUGGCUCCAACACCCUCGGCCUAGUUCCCAACCAGGGAAUGGGGUGGCCCAAGAUACAUCAGCCCCAGGAAGUCAGAGUCCUCGUCUCCACGGACUUGUUUGGUGGCAACCAUGGUGCCCAGGCGAACGCACCCCACCCAUCCCACACCGCAAAGUGCUCCUGAACUCCCAGCUUGGAACACCUGGAACUUUGGCUUUGGGAUUGGAC